GACGAACGCUGGCGGCGUGCUUAACACAUGCAAGUCGAACGGAAAGGCCCUGCUUUUGUGGGGUGCUCGAGUGGCGAACGGGUGAGUAACACGUGAGUAACCUGCCCUUGACUUUGGGAUAACUUCAGGAAACUGGGGCUAAUACCGGAUAGGAGCUCCUGCUGCAUGGUGGGGGUUGGAAAGUUUCGGCGGUUGGGGAUGGACUCGCGGCUUAUCAGCUUGUUGGUGGGGUAGUGGCUUACCAAGGCUUUGACGGGUAGCCGGCCUGAGAGGGUGACCGGCCACAUGGGGACUGAGAUACGGCCCAGACUCCUACGGGAGGCAGCAGUGGGGAAUAUUGCACAAUGGGCGGAAGCCGGAUGCAGCAACGCCGCGUGCGGGAUGACGGCCUUGGGGUUGUAAACCGCUUUCGCCUGGGACGAAGCGUGAGUGACGGUAAUGGGUAAAGAAGCACGGGCUAACUACGUG
rnacentral:rRNA from 1 species